rnacentral:misc_RNA from 1 species
CAGGACAUUUGUGUUUUUGUUCCUCGUUGAAAAAGAGUCGUUUCAUUUUGAACUAAUCCGAGUUUUUGCCCAAGUUUUGUUCUACUUUAUACGGGCGUCACUGAUCAACCAACUUUACGUGCUGUAAGCAAAGAAGUGCAUGAAAAGAGGGCAUACCCUGUUGCAGGCUCUUGAGUCUUCACACCUCUUGUCGUUAGGUUCACUGUGCCAUCAAUCUGAUUGCCAGCAAACCACUUGGCUUGAAUAUAAAUCUUCUUGUCGCUUGGGAUCUGUUCUUAUCUUUGACUGAAGAUGGCUGACGCUUUAGAUGACACUUCAGUAGACGUGACGCCGACACGCAAUCUGCGCUCAAGGACAGCACCGGUAAUUAAACAUUUUAAUUUUGUUGGUUGUAAAAAUUAAACCUAGUUUCACCACUGAAGGUUUCUACACAGCUAAAGAACUCCGUUCCGAAGGUGGGAAAAGGAAUCGGAAAGGGAGAGCGAGGUUGGAGCACAGAAGAAAAAGAUCAGCUGAUCUCCAUUUUGGAUAACGAUGGUUUUGAUGGGGAUUUCGCAAAUUUGGCGGCCAAAUUUCCGAGCCAAAGUCUUGACAGUCUUCGACACCUCCUGACUUACUACGAAGAAAAAAAGGAGGCAUCAAAAGGGGAAGAGACGUUGAACACCAUCAUAGAAAAAAUGCGUGGGAUGGAAGUCGACCUGUCUGAAGACUUACCACUGUAUUUUCAACUUCAAUCGUCAUUGGGAACCCACCCAAAACCAUCUCAAGUCGAAGGGAUCGAUUAUCCAGCCAUUUACAACCACGUAGCAUCUUGUAUGCGAGAAGAAAUACCUAAAAAGCUUCAUCCCGCGACAAGGGCCGAAUUGUCAUAGCCUCCUCCCUUACUUGUACAACGUAUACAGUCUGAACCAUACGACCAGAUUUUUUCUUUCUAUAUAGUUUUAUAUUUUUAUGUAUAUUUUUAUUUAUACUUUACGAUAGAAGUAAGAUAAUAAUAUAGCAUAAUAAUAGUAAGAUCAGCAUUUUUCGAAAGGAAGAAAGAGUUGAAGGAAAGACGAUCCAAAGUAUGGCUUGCUGACGUAUCGAAAGCGGAAGAAACAUUAUUGUCGAGAGACGUCCGUAAGAUUGAAGAAUUUUACAUGUCCCAAAUCCCAAGCGUUAUUGAUCCCGUUUUAUUUGUUUAAAUUUGAGCUUUGACAUUGAACCCGUUUUUAGUGGUUUAAAUUUAACCUUUGCAUUGUUUUUCAAAUUUUUAUCUGAUCGAUGCGUGUUUUGAUGUAAAGACAAGUUAAUGUUAAAUUUUUGGUCUUCUGUGUUUUAAUAAAUUUAACCAUACGACGAGACUGACCAACGGCAAGCGCUGUUGCGGCCAGAAUGGUGAAAAAGAGGAAAAAUUCUUUAGGCCUCAAAUUAGGGGUAGGGUGAAAUAAAACAAUAGAAAAGGGCGCAGGGGAGGGGUGAUCAAGCGCCACCUAGAACAUGUAAACUGUGAAGGGAGGGGACAAAACAAAUUUCUACUUGUCUUGACUUCCGGAGAGACAAAAUGAAAAAAUAAACAAAUAACGA